rnacentral:rRNA from 1 species
GGAGGAAAAGAAACCAACAGGGAUUCCUUGAGUAACGGCGAGCGAAAAGGGAAGAGCCCAGCGCCGAAUCCCCCAUCCUUUCGGGUGGCGGGAAAUGUGGCGUUCAGGAGUGAGCGUGCCGGACUCGGACCCCGCAGCAAGUCCCCCUGACCGGGGCUGUUACCCAGAGCGGGUGCGAGGCCCAUAGCCGUCAGGUCCGUUCCGGAUGCGAUCUCCUUGGAGUCGGGUUGCUUGGGAGUGCAGCCCUAAUCGGGUGGUAAACUCCACCUAAGGCUAAAUACCGCCGUGAGACCGAUAGCAAACAAGUACCGUGAGGGAAAGUUGCAAAGAACUUUGAAGAGAGAGUUCAAGAGUACGUGAAACUGCUCAGAGGUAAACGGGUGGGCCCUCGAAAUCCUGUGGCGAGAGGAUUCAGUCCGGCGUUGCGGACGUGAGAGACCGGAAAACCAGUAGGGCUUCCCUGAACGGGGGCCGUCCGGUUCCACGCCACCCCGUCGCGCCAGACUUACUUGACUCUCGUCCGAAGGACGCCGCAGCCGGUUGGGUAGCGCAAGCGCGACGGCCUGAAGGACGGACGAGGCAGGUGGCCGGUGGCGUUUGCUUCGGCGCGUCGCCGGUUGUUAGCCGUCACGUCAGUGGCUCGUCACCCGACCGUGGUGUCGCGAGGCCCCUCCACGGGGCCUCUCCGUCUCCUCCCUCGCCGAAAGCGGUAGAGCGCCGCAGUUGGCUUGCGCCGUCCCGUUCGCACCCCGCCGGGGUGGUCGGGCGAGCGUCGGCUUCCGAUCGCGGCGACGAGGCCGUCGGGGGCUGGAGGCUCGCGGCGAGUAGGUCGGUCACCCACCCGACCCGUCUUGAAACACGGACCAAGGAGUCUAACAUGUGCGCGAGUCAAUGGGACUUGAACAGGCCCAGAGGCGCAAUGAAAGCGAAGGUCGGCGGACGCCGACCGAGUUGGGAUCCCCGGUCUCGGCCGGGGCGCACCAACGACCCGUCCUCUCCGGUUCGCCGGUUGGGCGGAGUGUGAGCGUACACGUUGGGACCCGAAAGAUGGUGAACUAUGCCCGGACAGGACGAGGCCAGAGGAAACUCUGGUGGAGGUCCGUAGCGGUUCUGACGUGCAAAUCGAUCGUCAGAUCUGGGUAUAGGUGCGAAAGACUAAUCGAACCAUCUAGUAGCUGGUUCCCUCCGAAGUUUCCCUCAGGAUAGCUGGCGCUCGAGAUCAGUCUCAUCCGGUAAAGCGAAUGAUUAGAGGCCUUGGGGCCGAAACGACCUCAACCUAUUCUCAAACUUUAAAUGGGUGAAUGGCCGCCUUGCUUGAACGAAGGCCGGCCGACCAGAUGAGAGUGCCCAGUGGGCCACUUCUGGUAAGCAGAACUGGCGCUGUGGGAUGAACCAAACGCCGGGUUACGGCGCCCGAUGCGAGACGCUCAUGAGACCCCAUGAAAGGUGUUGGUUGCUCUAGACAGCAGGACAGUGGACAUGGAAGUCGUAAUCUGCUAAGGAGUGUGUAACAACUCACCUGCCGAAGCAACUAGCCCUGAAAAUGGAUGGCGCUCCAGCGUCGAGCCCAUACCCGGCCGCCGCGGCAGAGCUCCGCCCAGGGAGACUUACGCCGCGGUGAGUAGGAGGGUCGCGGCGGGGAGCGUAGAAGGUGCCGGGCGUGAGCCCGCCUGGAGCCCCCGUCGGCGCAGAUCUUGGUGGUAGUAGCAAAUACUCAAGUGAGAACCUUGAGGACUGAAGGUGGAGAAGGGUUCCAUGUGAACAGCAGUUGAACAUGGGUCAGUCGGCCCUAAGGGAUCGGAGAAAUCCGUUCCGAAGCGGGACCUUACAACUCAGUAUGGCAGUCCCGCUGCCGACCGAAAGGGAAUGGGGUUAAUAUUCCCCAACCCGGACACGGAGAUAGGGCUCUCGGGCCCAAGUGCGGUAACGCAACCGAACUCGGAGACGUCGACGGAGGACCCGGGGAAGAGUUAUCUUUUCUUUGUAAGGGUUCGUGUCCCUGGAAUCGGCUCGUCCGGAGAUAGGGACGCUGUUCCCGUAAAAGCACCGCGGCUCUUGCGGUGUCCGGUCCGCCUCUGUUGGCCCUUGCAAAUCCGAGGGAGAUGGUGUGAUUUUCGUGCCGGACCGUACCCAUAUCCGCAGCAGGUCUCCAAGGUGAACAGCCUCUAGUCGAUA